rnacentral:rRNA from 1 species
GGAUCGAUGAAGACCGCAGCUAAAUGCGCGUCAGAAUGUGAACUGCAGGACACAUGAACACCGACACGUUGAACGCAUAUUGCACAUCGUACUACAGUACGAUGUACACAUUUUUGAGUGCCUAUAUUUAUCCAUUCAACUAUACGCGCUGCACCCGCGACCCGUCGCGCGCGCGCACGCACGUAUGCGUAGUGAUGUUUUUCCGCCUUCGGUGCGCGGCAAAACAUUGAAGAUAGUCAGACGUGGCGAGGCGCGGCAUGCGCCCACCCGCGGUUGAUGAGUACAUCCCACUCUGCCACCACCAUGCGCACUGUGUUGUACUCCAUCCAUUCGCUGACCACACACACACAUUCUCACACUCACUAGGCCUCACAUAAAGUGUGACUACCCCC